rnacentral:lncRNA from 1 species
UUCUUGCCGAAGGUGGCCUUUCCAUUGCCAUGCUUUGUUCUAACGGGUUGCUUUGAACUGACCAAGAAUUGUUUCUUUUUGAAUGAAUCUCAACCAUAAGAUCCUGAAUGACCCGAGUGCUCUACACCCAACCCGUUGUUUUACAUUUCUGUCCUUUCUACCUGAACCUCUAUAUCUCCCACAAGAUUCCCAAACCAUUCGCCUAAUAGAGCUUUCACCGACACCUUAUUUUUCAUCUUGCAUCAUGCUAUCUCCGGUACAUUUUGGCCGCACUUUGCUUUGUACAAUUUGGAAGUCGAUAGUAAGCUUUGAAAUCCUUUAUUACUUGCUUAAACAAGGUUGACAUUGAAAAACCCUUAGAGAAGUAAACCCAAAAGAAAUGAAAUGCAAUGACUUUGAGAGUUAGGAAUAAAGAAGAAAAUCUGAAACUGGAUGACUUUUUGAGGGAUAAAAGGGAGGAGACUUAUCUGAGUGAGGCAGCUUGCACCAAUGAUCAUGACAUGCAUUUCAGAUUAAUCAUCCUAGCCCGUUCAGCCAAUCACCUUUCAAUUGUUAUACUUUAUAUCCUUGGAUAUCCAUAACCCAAUCUUUUCGCCAAGUCACUGACCUUGUUCGGCUUGCGGUGCCCUGAAUGAUUUUCACAAACAAACCUCUCUCAUUUGCUCAACUCUCCACUCACUGUCGCCUUACAGUGCCCAUGAGGAUUUUAACCAAUAAGACUCUCUCAUUUUAAUUUCUCUCAUCUUUCCAUCGACCUAUGGUUCCCGCGAGGGUUUUCACCAAUAGUCCUCUCAUAUUUAUUUCAUUUUCUUUGUAUAGAACGGAGUGUUGCCCCUGAUGACUCAUACCUCUAUCUCACCUAACUUGGAAUUUCUCAAAGAUUGAUCGGAAAGUCUUCUUUUAGGCCGUAAUGUGGGCUUUUGGAUAGGGAGGGAAAGGAUAUUGUGAAGGCUCAAAAACAAUUGAAAUGGGUUCAAGAUUACAACUUUUGAAAUCAGAUCUCCUAUGAAGUUGCAGCUUCUAUCCUAGUUUCUUUGCCUGGGGACUUUUGAAUUUUAUUUUGAUGGGACCAAACCGCGAGGCUGCCUACGUAUCCUUCAAAGGAAUCAGGUCGAAUGCAGUUCAUGUCAUAGAAAUUGCUUUGUUGUUGUUACUUUUCUCUUUUCUCUUUCUUCUUUUUUUAUUUUCUUCUUUCUUUUUUUUCUCUUUUCUUUCUCUUUUUCUCUUAUCUUUUCCUCUUUCCUUCUUUAUUUACCUUUUGUGUCCGUGUUUCUUAACUUUUCUAUUGAUUUCAAAAGAGGGGUAUGCAAAAAUAAAUAAGGCUCUAAUGGGUAACACACCGUAAAGUGUUUAGAUAGUAUAAUAAAAGGCCUUCGUCAUUCCAAUCUUCAAAACAUGCUAAGUACAAACAAACACAAUUUAAACCAAAGAAAUCAUACAUAAUAUUUUUUGAUUACAUCAAAAUUAAUAGCCAUAUCUACAUAUUUGACUUCUACAUAUUUGACUUCUAUUCCGG